GUCCGAAUUGCCAAGUAGUAGUCGAAGUAGUAGUCGAAGUAGUAUCUAGCAUGUCCGAAUUGGCCACCGGAGCGAGUAGCAUGCUACUUCAGAUACUACUUCAGAUGCUAGACACGCCCACAUUGUAGGUUGGUCUCGGUGCAUCCUACGGGCAUGCUACUGACCCAAAAUGCACCGCGGGCUUCUUCUUCGUCCUCUUAAAAGUUGUAGAAGCGCAUGUGAUGCUAGCGCCACCAGCUGCUGCCUAUUUAGAUGCGUCGCGAACGCCGGCUGGCCACAGCAGCGCGCACCAUGUCGGAGCAGCAGCAGCAGCAGGCGGGACCGCAGUAGUACAGAUGUAAGUUUCAUGUAACUUCACACACUGUCCUAAAAAAUGUGCGGUUGUAUCUCUUUGUCAUGUCAUGGUGUCAUAUUUGCCCAAGUAAUCAUUUUAUGAGCAAAUAUGUGGCGACAUCAUGGAGGUAAAGCUCACUUAUUCCAUCAUUAAACUGCACAGCUGCAGUACUACAGCCAGGCCCGCAGAUGAGGGGCUUCAGUUACCACUGUCUGCACGGGCGCAGUACCUACUCUCUGCCUGCGGGGGUCGUCUUUCCCCACCGCUCGUCUAGUGUGUCCGAAUUGGGCCAACGUGUUUAGUAUGUAGGAGUAGGAUCUAGCAGGAUCAGGGUUAAACAGAAACUAGUGGAGUAAACCGAUUAUUGAUUAUGGUGAUGUGUUUUACAUGAACGCCUCUGUUCAAUGCCUCCACAUGCUGGAUAGUGUAUCAUGGUUCUCUGGAGCUCUAACUCACCAUUGUGUCUUACUCAGUAAAGUAAACUGGCCGUCUUUACAUGUGCGCCGGCUCGGCCUUUGGUUCGUGUCGAUUUAUAAGACUAUUCCUCAGAUGACUCCAUCUUGUUUAUCACCCAUUUUAAUCUUGAAUAAUAGGACCUACAGUCUCCGCCCCCAGGACUUUUAUUAUUUUACUGUUUCUAAAGUUCAGAGCAGAAAUGAGGAAGAAAGUUUUUAGAUUUUCUAGAAAAAUGAUCACGAUAUAUUUUGUCACAUCGUCCGAUCUCGAUUAUUAUCACAAUUUUUUUUUAACUGCCAGUUUUAAAGCAUCUGUUUUAAAAACUGAAGAAACUAGAGAUUAGUUCAACAUUUUAUUUACAUACAAAAUAAAUAACAAAUCAAAUUAAAUAGAUACACUUAAAAAUAUAUAAAAUACAUGUUAUAAUAACAUCUUCGGAGAAUGACUCAAAGUCAGGGCUGACAUCUGUUUGCUGCCCUCAGCUCCAUGUUUAGCUCCACUUUCGGUCAUUCUUACUUCCUGUUUACUUCUCCAGCAAAUUACAGAAGCGAGCAGGAAAAGCUCGACUCUGAUUGGCUGCUGUCACGCACAUUUCUGCUGUGUUUGCUCACAGCUGAUCACCGUGAUCGAACUGAAAUUUAUCACGAUCAUAUAAUCGCCCAGUCCUACCCCUGACUGUAUUCAAAUCCAUGAUAAACUCCAUUACAUCCAGGCGUCAGGAGUGCAAAUGUUUUAUUUUAAUGUGCUAAUGUUUGAGGAAUCUUGUAUUCUUUGUUUUCUAUAUAAUUAAUGUGAUUAUGUAUUAAAACUGUCGAUGGGACAAACCUGGUUAAAUAAAGUUAAUAAUCAUAAAAACAGGCCGCUCUUCCAAGUCGAGUCAUCUUCAUAAACGCCGUUCAUCAUCAGAGGUUACGAUAUUAGCAGUUUGUGCAGAUGAGUUUCUCCAUUCCAGGGUCGUAUCUGCAGGAUUUACGUGUUUUUAUUUGGUGUACUGAGACUCGGCUUUCGGAAACACGCGGUGGUUUACCGUGAUGAGUCAAGGUUUCUCCUCUCUGAAAAACAUCUGAUUCAUUGCAGCAUUUUUCCAACCUAGAUACAAGACUGAGAGCCAGGUGAGGGAAUAACGGAUGAAUACUCUAUGAGCUCAAAUGGACCGAAUCAGGAAAUCCAUUACAGUUCGCUUUACUUCCAUGGUGACAGAUCAGGAAAUUCAUCGUCUCAGGAGCCGCUUACAUCCUGCUGGUCUUCAUAUCAGUCGACCUACUUCCUUUAGUUCGCACUUAUCUGUUUCAAAGAGGGAUUUUCUUUCCCUGUUUCACUGCAGCGAGCGCUAAAACAAACACUUCCAACUUCAUCUAAAGUGAGAGGAAGUUGAUAUAUUUUAUUUUUUUUGCUGUUGAAAAUAUCCGGUCAAGUCUCUGGUGAGUCAUAAAGGACGGGUCGCCCCGUUCACCUCGUUGGCCAGGCUCAGAGCGAGGUUACGUAAGCUCCCACUUCAAAUGAAUCAAGCUGAAAGCAUGAGAGGAGGAGGAGGAGGACGACGACGACGGGCCUUCAGGGGAAGGAAUCCUUCAGGAGGAACAGUUUCCAGAGGAGCUGGCUGUGGUCCAGUCAGUUUAUAAAACACUUGAAGAAGAAGAGGGAGGUGAUGGUGACCCUUCAUUUAUUCCCUCAUCAUACCUCUAAGUAAGUUAAAGUUGUCCGUCGUACAGAUUUAUACCUCCUCUUCUUCAAACGGACUUUUAGCAGGUCGUUGGAUUCAGAAGUUUCAGACUGUAAAACGUUGAACAAACUCGCUCCUGCUGUGCAUCGCUGCAGGUUAUCUUAACCCGAGUACAGAGAGCCAGUGGCUCAGGGAAAAUCAUCUCAGACUUUACGAAGAGCUUAGUUUGACCUGCGUGGCCGCUCCGCUCCGCUCCGUUUGUGGGGGAUAUCGCUUACAGGUAAUGAAUGCUCCCCCUAUCUCCCAAAACCUCCACAUAAACCCUCGCCUCCUUUCCCACAGGGAUUACUAUGUCUCUGUGUGUCCGUGUUGGUGUGUACUUUCGCCCGUGUGUACGUGGGGGAGGAGAGCUGAUCUACACGUGUAUCUGUCGGCUAAACGGCGAACAGAAUGGCUGAAUUAUCUCCAGGUUACAGCGAAGGUGAAUCACGAGAGACCGAUGGGGUUAAAGUUUCCAAACUAACGUCACUCCAAACAAUAAACCGAUCAGACCCUGGCUCUUCUCCCUUCUCAGUUUCUUACUUUAUUCGCCACCCAAUCGGAUCAAUAAAAGCCUCAAAGUAAUCUCGGUUAAAAACUAGAGGAACAAAGAGAUGCCGGUUUGGCGGUGUGGUUAAAUCCCACGCCUCAUUUACAGAGGCGAUCGUCCUCGAAGCAGACGGCUCAUCCAUCAGACCCACAGCUCUUCGCCACACAUCAUUCGCCGCUCUCCCUUUUCUGUUUUUUGCUCGAUCCAUCACCCUGUCUGAUCAAUAAAGGCAGAAAAAAGCUGAAAAAUAAUCUCGCUUUAAAAAGAAUCUAGAUUUUUUAGGUUAUCAAGACUUUCCUCUCCCUUAUUUGUGUGUUUUCUGCUGUUGUAUAAUCAAAAAAGUCUCGAAAACUAAAGGGAAACUUAUUUUAAAGGCUGGGAAUCCAAAAGAUUACUCACUAAAACAUCACACCAUGAUUUAAUAAAGUUUUUCCUUGUCUUUUUGAGUAGCUAUGACGACAAAACUCUAGAGAUGCUGAAACAAAACCUCUGUUAAGUGGAGGCGAACAUCCACAGUCUCUCUAACGUGUGUUUUCUGUAUCAGACUGAACUCGGCGAGUGAAGAAACACACCGACAGUAAAUCAUCAUCACCUGAAAGCGCCCACACUGAGAGAUCCCGGCUGUCACCUCUGCUCACCUUCAUCCAGAGAAACAGAAACUCGAACGCACGCACGCAGUCGCUCUCUCUUCACAUUUAAAAUCCAAAUAAACCGUUUUUAGGAGACCUGAGGGGGCUCACGCUCGCCUACGAGGUUCUCGGGUUUCGGGGACGCGUGGGAGCUCUCACUCCAUCAGAUGAGAAACGGACUUCCUGAUGACAUCCGCAGAGAGUCGCCUCCUCUGCUCGAGUUUGAUGGACAAAACAUCCCGUCGAUGCAGUAAAUCAGAACUUUCAAAAUAUGACUUCACAGUUACCCCACCGACUGAUGAGACAGAUUAGUGAUUUAGAUGAUGUGAAAAAUGUCAUAAAAGUGAGUUGAAGGAGUAUGAUAUGAAAAAAGUUGCUAGAAUCAUCGUUAGACUCUGAAAGUCCCUGUGAUGUUGAAAACACGUUGAAAAGAUUCUUCACCAGACGUCUAAUAAACGUCCAGAUUCAGACCGUCUAAAUAAAGCCUCGUUUUCAACGUCUUCUUUUGGGACCAUGACGAGCCAACGGGAUUUAGCCUGAAAAAAGACGUCUAAAGGUCCUUAAACACCGGGGCCGACGCAAAUAUAGAACGCGAAAUCACGAAAUAUUCAGAAGCGAAUUUUGACGCGCCUGACUGUACACAUCACGCCCGAUGCGUUUUGCGAUUUUCCGGGGGGGAAAAGACAAGUCCCGCCUCCUUCACCUCUGAUUGGCUAGAAAGCUGGGAAUGUCAUCACACGCUCAAGCCAAACGGUCAGCACUUACAGCCAAUCAUAGGUGAAGGAGGGCGGGACCUUUCCUUACCAUCCUACCGCGUCCUGGGUGGAAGCGAGAAGACAAAAUUGGAGUCUCCUUCAACUUCAAGUGAUGGCGAAUUGGUACUUCUUUAGCUUUCUCAAAAGAAGAAGAAAUGUAGCACAUAGGUGCAUCCAAUAUUACAAAAAAGACGAGAAACUGGACCACGGUCGCUUCAGAACCUGUUUUUGGAUGUCUGUUGGACAAUUUGAAGUUCUGCUGAAACAAUUAACUCCAAGUUUGAAGAGGCAGAGGACUAGACACUAGACACUAGUGUUGAGAUGUCUGUCUGUCAUGAUAGCAUGUACUGAGUCAGGGUCAGUACCAGAUAAACACAUGAAACUAUGGUAACAACAGUUAGCUUAGGUUAGCACAGAUGAAAGUUAAAACAAAGACGUUUAUCAAACUGUUAAAGCUCACAAACCAUAGAAAUAUGAGCGAUCUGACGCUAUGACUCUCCACAAGUCAUCCUUCAGGUCUUUAUCUUUGUAAUGUUUGUGUAAAUGAUCAUGAACAAUCAGCCGGUCGGCCAUGUUGGAUAUACCGGUGAAUCAGGCGUCGCAACAACACGCAAUCUGAUUGGUCAGAAGUGGACACACAGUAUGCAAAACUUUAGAAAAAUCUACCGUGAUCCGAAAAAAUAAAUGCCGCAAUAUCGCAGGACGGGAAAAUGUCGCUGAUGUGAACGCUUGACAGGAUACGGGUUCGAAAAAAAAUAUUGACGCCCGAAAAAGGACCUUAAAUGACGUCAGGUGUUUGGUGGGUAAGAAGAGAUCUUCGAAAGAGGCCUUCAACCUCUCUUUGGAUAUUCUUGUAAAGCAGAAUAAUUGUUGCAGGUCAUUCAAACCAGAUGUAGUGAGUGUAACUUUGCAAAAUGUUUAAUUUCAAAGUGGCUCUAAAAAUAAAUAAAGAACACAGUGAGAUUUAUUUUCUAAAUGAGUGAGAAAAGCUGCAAAUUUGAGUCAAACUUGAAAAUCAAUUUAAAGUUUCAAGUAAUUUUAACUGAAAAAAAAUCUGUGAACUUGACACAAAAAAAUAUGAUUUUAUAGGCAGUGGUUUUUUCCCUCUGUGCACUAAGUCUGUUAUAUCUGUAGGUAAAGUUCAUAUCAGUUUGUGAAAGAUUUAAGGGGUUUUAUUUAUGACCUUGAAAACUGCAGAGCUUCAUUUCUGCCCGGGUCAGCAGGAAGGUUACUGCCCCGUGGGAUGAAGGUAGAAGAAAACAAACACGACCCUGAGGUGGAGAGAUCCCUCCAGAGUCAGAGUGUAAAUAUGACUGAGGAUAAAACAGGUUUUUUAAAGCAAAUGCACAUGUAGUCAGUGUUCAGGUCAUGACAGAAGCCUGCAGUCUGAUUAUUGUGUGAAUCUUUUAUUUCUAAAUGUUGAUUUACUGUUCCCUCCUUCAGUUUAUCAACGAGGACAAAUGUACAAAUAUUUUAUCAGUGACUAAAGUAAUCACAUAAAGCAGAGCAGCAGUUCCCUUUAUGGAGACUAGUUCAUCUCCUCUCAGUGUGUAUUAUUGGAUUGUUCUUGACGUUGUACAGUAAAGCUGCAGACCCGCCCUGCAUAAAAAUAUCCCAUAAAUGACAUGAUUGAUGGUUUAUUUGGCGUUUAGAGGAAAGUUUCAUUGUCAUGGCUCUCAAAGUCCCCCUCCAGCUCCCGAGGAGCAGCACUGAGAGGAAACAUUAGUGGACCAGGAUAUUGGCCUGGAGGGCAGGAGGAUGUUCCUCAGCCUGGCCCCUCUCUGUGGAUCUUGGCGUUUUAAAUGGAAGGUUUGUCUUCCUCGGGCCUCCGUAAGGAAGCAGCUGUCAGAGAGACCAGCUCGCUCUCUUUUAGAGAGUUCGGUUCCUGAAAUACCCCAAAUAUCAGAUCUCUCAAAGGUUUGUGAUCUUCAGCCGCGAUAAGAAGCUUUAAGAGUUUGUUGUCCGGUGUAAGCGACGCACUGACUCGACAACUUUAUGAAUGUGUGUUUGUUUUAGCGCGCUAAAGUCGAGCUUUUUACCUUUCACGUUGGCUGUUUAAAUUUAAUACAGAAGAGCUCGGCAGAGUCUUUCACCAAAGGUACGCCAUACAAUAAAAAAUCGCCAGACUGGUCGGACAUUAUAUUUGCAUUUGUUUACAAAUCUGAGUUUAAAAAUAAAAGGAAAAUGAACAAAUGAGUCAGUUUGGUUAUUUUUAGGACAUUAAUUGGAUUUAAAGGGGAAAAACAUACCGUCUGUUAUCGUGAUAUGAAAUUACUCACCGCCUUACACUAGAUGCAACAGUAAAUUCUAGUGUAUUUAAUGGCCCCCCUGCAUAUGUUGGGUCGGGCCACCCUAGUCAAAAAAGUCUAGACACGCCCCUGCUUGUCGGCCCAAACUUCAUGUUAUUUCGCUCUACAAACGAUGAAUUAAUCCAUGCUGAGAGGAGGCUACAGAGAAAGACAAGGACUCUACUUUUACUCAGGUAGACUGACGCAUUUAUCACGAAGUUGAACGUCAUGCAGAUUUGAUGUCCAGAAAGACUUUUCUGGCCUGACCGUCACGUUCUUGUCUUUGUGCAGAACAAAUUUAAAACCUUAUAGAUGCUUUCAGCUGAGCCACCCUGCUGCUUCAGGAGCCAAAGUGAGCGAGGUCAGAGAGCGUCUCAGCAGUGAAAUGUAGACAGAUGAAGCACACUGAGUGAUUCAGUGUCGAACCUGCUGUGGUACACGUGCUGUAAUUAUUUCCUUUCUCUGCUUUAUCCCUUGAGAAAGUGUUUUGUAACCGUAAAUGUGCCGUUUUCCCAUAAUUGCACCACUUAGAGCAACAGCUGAUGCAAACUGUGAACAUCACAGGAGUGAACUAUUUCAGUGUGCAGUCUGAGAUUAAUGAGGAAAGAGGCAUCAAACAAGCUUCCUCUCUCACUAAAUCUUCACAUCCGUCUCUCUCUCUCUCUCUCUCUCUAUUCUCACACUUUUCUUCAACAUCCUCUCAAAGGGAGAAAAACAUCAACAAGUAGAUCAGGAAUGGAAGGUUUUCAUUACUUUAAAUUUGGCUCCAGGUUUGAAUUUGGUUCUUAUCACUUUUGCAACAAAACAGAAACUUUUUUUUAACCAAAAAUGGAAAUAUUCAGCCUCAUAUCCUGUCCUUAAAGACAGAGUUAAUCCAGAGCAGCGGUCUCAGUUUAUCACACAUGAUUCACCCUCGAAUAUAAACAUUAACAUCCUUAAGAAGCCAGGACCUGGGCUUACAGGGCUGCAGGGGGGGUUUGAGUAAGAACAAUGGAGUCCAGACCCAGUGACACAAUCCUCCCGUCAACUUUGGACACUAACUUGUGGAGUGUUGCCACGGAAAUAAAGUCAAUUUACACUCUAUAUGCCAAAAACGAGAGGGAUGGAUUAAGGUCAAGUCCCCUGUAGACAGAAAAACUUGAAACUACAACUAGGUAUAAUAUUUCAAAGAUGAUUUCAUUUUUAAAAACAGAAAUAACAGACAAAUAUUGCAUCACUUCACGGCUAACCUGCAUUUUUAACACUGCAGCAGGUGGAAACAUCUUAAAAAAACAUCUGCAGCCUGACCAUCCAAAAGAUAUCACUUUUUUAAAGCUAAAGCAGACUGAAACAAGGCAAAGAAAGAGUCAAAAAUAUGAUGAAAAGGGGGUUUUAACAGAGCUUAAUGCCAUAAAAAUAUUUAAAGAUUAAUAAAAGAAAAUCAACUCAUGAAAAUGUAUCAUAUAUUUCUAGAAAGUGCUCUCUGCUGGUGGGUUUUCUUCUUCUCAGAGUGUCUGAGAUGUUUCUGUAGGAGGUAAACUUCAAAUGAACCCAGGCUCUCGUUGGCUCAGACAUUUAAACUCCCACUGAAACACAGAGCCGAGAGACGACGGCCAAAUCUACGUCGCAGAGAGCUUCAUGUGUUUUAGGAGCCAAACUAAACUGAGGCGGAGUCACAAAGCAGCGAGUUCUCGAUAUUCUGAGGCUUCCAGUCGGCGUGUAACUCACCUGUGCAUCUGUUUUUUAAUAUUGUGCAUCCUAUCACUGAGAACAUGAGAGUGAAUUCAACUUCUGCUCUUUUCUAAAUGACCUAAAAUAAUGCUGAUUGUUUGGCUGACAUUUCUAAACACUUCUCGUACUGCGGAGUUCUGGUCUUGUGUUUGGGGCGCGGCAUCAAAGCGGCUGUUGUUACCAGAGCGUGAAAAAAAAAAGGCUUUUCUAACAACUAAUCACAUGUCAGAUAAGGUCAGUGGAAGAUAACGGUCACAUCGUGUCCGAACUCAGUUUCUCAAACAGUUUGCCAGAAGAAAAGUGAAGCAAAGCCGCUCACAGGAAGUCCUUUGGUGAGGGGCUUUCCAGCGUUGCUAUGACACUCAUGACCACAAAUAAACUUUGACCCCUGAGCAGAGAGUGUGUUGGUGUGAUGGAGGAAAUUACAUUUUAACUUGACUGCCGUCCAAAAUGCUGACAGGCCAAAGGAGAUCUCAGGGCUUACGAAGUGUUAUCCCUCUAUUGUGUGUUUGUGUUAGUGUUAGUGUGCGCUAACUUUGUAUAUAAAACACUUUGUUGUUGGCGUGCAUGUGUAGCUUUGUCCUCCCCGCCCUGCUGAAUUAGUGUUUAUCCCCUGACCGGGUGUGAAGUGAAGCAAUCUUUUGGGGGUCUGCCCAUGUGAAUCUGGGUCCUCAGAGGGAAAGUUAAUGAGUUUUCAGGAUGGCUAACCAGCACAGCGCUGAAACUCUCUGACCCUGUUCUGAGAUCAGAAUCAGGUUUUUAAGAUUUGAUCAUCAGAACCAUCAUGGGAAGACUUUGACAUCUUUACUACACAGAGACUCCUGUAAAGAAAAUUUUACCUGCAGCAUCUGAAAACUAACCCUCGAUGUUUCCAAAGAUUGAAUUAGGGCUGGGCGAUAUGGCCUCAAAUCAAUAUCAUGAUAUAUUGAUCAGUUCACCUCGAUAACAAUAAAUAGACGAUAACUACUCCACAAGCUGCUCACCCCCUCCCACAUAAACUUCGUCUACUUCAGCUGCUCCAACUUUCUCUCCGUCCUCCAUCUCCUCUCCUGUCUUUCCCUCUUUGUUACAGACUGGAUGGGGUGGAGUCACAUCUCUGAUGUAGAACAGCGUCUUAAAGGGACAUGAGACCAUAGCCUACCUACACACAUCCAAAAACAACUUUGAUUGAUUUAUUUAUUUGACACCGAAUAUAUUGACAUGGGCAAAAUGACGUCAGUUAUUGUCGGAAAUUUUGGUGUCUGUAAAAUUUUGGUUUAUUGCCCAGCCCUAGGUCGAAGUUUUGCCAACUUUACUUAAUGUCUAACCCGGGAUAUUUAAGGGUUAAUCUGUGCUGAAUUUAUCCGGCAUGCUCCGGCGAUCCGCAGAGGAACGAAAAGAAGUCGGUGGAAGUUGACGCGUUAACUUGAAUGGUUACGAUCAGCUACGAUCGGCGGAUACUGCCUUUUUUGUCGCCAUUCAGGAUGAAGGUGGAAAUUGGGGGUUAGCCUCUUUGCGCCAAUUACCUGAAUUUACUUAUUCAUUCUGACACAUCAUCAUGGGACCAUGAAUAGCUUUACAAGUAGGGUGCCAACCCCCCAACAGAUGCUGCCAAAUCUGAUAUAAUGAAGAUUUUUUAUUUUUUUUUGUAAUUGCUAACAGAGCUUUAAAAAAAUUCAAGGGUUCAUCAAAGCCAUCGAGGAUUCGUCCUCUGGGAACUACGAAUGUGAGUCCUGAAGUUCAUGACAAGUCACUCAACAGCAGAUGGAACAUUAAACCACAUAACAACACGAAGACGAGAGGAGGGAAUUCAGAAGAUGUGUCAUCGGGAUUCAUGCCUCUGGGACUGUGAAUGUUGACAUAGCUGAUACUUUCAAUUGUUCCUGAUCUGGAUCCAAUCACAGCAGAAAAACCAACAUGGUCGUCACUGGAGCGCGGCCACUUUUGUGAGCGGACAACAAAGAAACCAACAAAGUUACCGGCCAAGAAAACGCCAUGACACUACACAAACGAGGGAGUCCAUAUUUAUCCUGGGAUUAGUCCAAAACCUAACGUAAUGCUGAGCAAGCGUUUGGCUCACGCUUUAGUAGCCACACUAGAGACGUCAUCCUCCAGUGGGUCAAACGCCAAGCAUGACGGUCACCUGCUCAGGAAUGACUGAGUGUGACAUUUUCUGUAGGAAGUAUAAAUUCAGGCAUUCUUAAAAUGUUUAUGUCACAUUCAUUCAGAGCUCCACUACCACCAGUUACUGCAGUAAAGACCUCCCAACAUGCCGACUCUAUGCUGUCAGCUCUCCGCGGAUCAUGCACUCAUGGAAACUGUGAGAUACCACAGAGUGUGCAUCAGCAGCUCAACGAGCCACAUGAGUCGAGGUGUCUGCCAGGAAACAAGCGGGGAGCAAAAACUCAUGUUUGAAGCUACAGAAGAGACGUAUCCUGAUGGUACUGAGACGACCAUGUCUUACAACGGUCUACGAUUCAGUGUACUUCUCAUUUUGGGUGGACUCUUGGUUUGGUGCGCAGACGAGCCAGAAGAAUCCAAGGUAGCUUACUGUAUGAAUUCCACUUCCACCUAAAAUAACUCCCCCAGAGGACGAACAAUGAGCGCUUUGACUCCUGAGUGCGAUUAUGUGAUUGUCGGUGUCUGCUGAAGAGUCCGUUUCAUUGUCGGAGAAAAAGCUCGACUCUAGCUGGCAGUUUUAAAUGAAACCAGACCGAGAGUCGGCUGGCAGAGGAAGAGGGGGUCUCUGUUUUCUUGGGUGGCAUUCAAAGCUCUGUGAGCACUUACAGUUACCCCAGAAUAUACUGGCUGUCUGCAGACAAAACAUUGUUCUCAAACAUUUCCAAAUGGAGAGGGGAGGAAAAGAGAAUUGUAAACAGACACGCGGAGAAGAAGUCGUAAAAUAAAAGACAAGGAGCACAGGAGAAACCAAAAUACAGUGGAACAGGUAUGAAGUCAGUUUGGAAAUGUCCAGGUUAACUUGAAUGUUUGUCAGGCUGAGUCAUCUUAUUGAGAUGUGCGUUCAGAUCCUGGAAGUUAUCCAGCUAAGAUAGAGCAGUUAUGAUACGAUAGGAAAGAUUCAUCUUUUUCCUUUUCCUUUCUUCUUUUGUCAAAGUUUUGUUUACAAACCAGUUUCCUACCAACACAUUUGUGUAAUUCAACUUCUGGGACAAAUCCAGGCAUGAAAACACUAAAUCAGACGAAGAAUGCUACGUAAGGAAGGCCGGUUUAAGUCUGGUUGAACUGUCAAUGUGGAAGAAAAAAAACUGAUAUUAUAGCAUGUUGAAGGUGGGGUAGGCAGGAAUCCCCUGUGUCGUUCAUGAGCCCAAACAAAGUUAGCGUGCUACAAUAUCGGACAGUAGAAACCAACCAGAAAGUUCGGAAAAUUGUCUGAAUCCUCCUUUGGCCACGACUGCCGACACAAGCAAGAAAACAAAGUAAAUACCGGAGACUCUGGAGGAAUAACGGGCGCUUAAAACGGAGGUAGACCGGACAAGAGCUAAAAAGCCGGGUCAACAUAAACGAUGGGGGACGCUUGGGGAUCUUGGUGACCCUGUAACCUUUCUGCUGGACAGGUAAACCGCUUUAACAAAGUAAGACAAGUGUCUGUAACAGAAGUGUUUCUUGUCAAACGGACCUGCUGUAGCGUGUUGUAGCGCCAUCGCUAAACUGUCCUCCCUCGGGUCCUGGACUAUGUCACUUUAUCCUCGUUGUAGAAGUCCUGCAAACAUUGUGUUUGCUGGUAGUCUGUUGGCAUCUACAGUAGCACCAAUGCUUUUGACUUUCACCUUGACUGGGCCCCAUUUGUAAUGAUCUGAAGGAUUUAUCUGCAUUAUAUCUGAAUUUAAUUGGAACAAUACGAGCGAGCAGGAGCGGGAAAACUGGUUGGGAGGGGUAGAGUUUACAUUCAAGAUCUCUCCUAAAAACUGGAACUCAGAUCCUGACUACAACACCUUUAAUGUACUGACUGAUUAGCUUAUUGAAACAGUGUUGUAGAUUGGCAACAGUGGAGGAGACUUCUGAAGUGCUGGGUUCUAGAGUGUUCAGGGGAGAAGAUUAAAAGAGAUGGUAGCUGAAAUGAUCGAUGCAGACAGAGGCAGAAGUGAGAGUUUUCAAGGACACUAAUCUAAGAGAGGUAAUAAAGAGCUGGAAAUCCUGUUAGAAGGUCAAUAUAAAGACCAAAACAUUAGCAUAACACCCACUCCUCCAAUUAUACCUCUAGUUUAAAGAGUGUGUAGUUAUCCUGAACUUUGUGAAAGGAGUAUGAAAAGUCGUACUAUUAAAGCAGCCUCAAACAGAUUCAUGUAUUUUUAUGCUAAAGUCAAAAAUCUAGUUAUAAACAAUGAGCAUCUUUGCACAAUGACAGUAAAUGCAUGGAUUUGCUUUGGGUAAGUGUAAUUUACAAUAAGUUUAGCUCUGAGGAGGUAACGCCACUUUUGUACCACUAGAGGGAGCCAUAUUCCAGCAAAAGGCCCAUUUAAGGCAGACACGGUUUGAUUCAUUGAUUAGUGUUUGUUCCCUCAAAGAUAAAUAUAUAUCUGUACUUUUCCCCUUAGAUCAGAAGUGUGUAUUUUCUGAUCUAACAGUUCAGGAUCUGAUCGGUGUUGAAAUGUUUUACACAAUGGCUUAUGUUUUAAUUUAUUCCCCAUAAUACAUUAACCAUCUGUAACUGUUGUUUUUUUCUGCUCCUGUUCCCAUGGCUGUGAGAUGAGUCAUCUGCGUUACCUUCACGAUAUCAUCUAUUCCCACGUUGCACAUGUGCUAAUAAAUUUCCCCCCCUUCAAAAAUUAACCCUGAUGUACAAUAAAGGAGGGAGAUUUCAGGAUGAGUCACAGCCUGGAGAGAAUGGAGGGAAGACGGGGAGAGAAUAAAAGCUUCAGUAGCAUUUGGAUGAGGCAAAACAAACAGAGAAAAUGGAUAAAGGGAGGAAAAAGGGGGGAGGAGGGGUGAUGGAGAGAGCUUGCGUCGAUGAGUCAGAUUCAUUAUCUGAUGGAAAAGGGAGGGAAGGAGGGGAGGACGGGAGAGCGAGGCGAGUUCAGGAAUAGUAUAGAAGAAAUAAGGGGGAUGAGUCAGAGGAAAGGUGGAAGGACGAGGUCAGAGGAGGCCAUGAGUGGAUGGAAUAAGGAGUAAGGAGAAAGGAUGAAAAGUAGGACAUAUGAGAGGAGAAGAAGAGAUAGAAACCUGAAAUAAAAAGACAUGGUCACACUGUUAAUGGUUUGAUUUACAGAGCAUUGCCGGAGUCUCAAAAAUCUGGACUUGAAUUAAAAUUGGAAAAAAAGUGAAAAUUGAAAUUCGAUGGAUGGCGAAUAUCUCCAGUUUAACUCCCUCCUUACAAAGUGAUGAAAAAAUUAAAGGAGUCCAGUCCCAGAUGUUGUAGAGCGGAUGUGUAUCUGACCUUGAUUUGAGCUCAAGUAGAAGAAGAAGAGCAUUAUCCUUGAGGAUCUGAUCCAAGUCUCAGUGUAAGGUUUUGUAUCUGCACUUUAUGGACUGUGUUGGAACAGACACAAACUUGGCGGGACAAGUUGUUCCGAUCUCUAAAUGUGAAACAGCACUUCCCUCUACUGGCAGCUAACACACCCUCUUCCUGCCAUGUGAGUGUGUAUGUGUAUCUGUGUGUGUGUGUCUGUGUGUGUGUGUCUAUGCACAGACAUGCAAAGGGCAACUCAGACUGCUGAUAAAAGUCAAAAGUUACAGUUUAUACCUUGAGUAGAAACAGUCAUAAAACUCUGAUCACAGAGACGGUGAUAAGAUACCAGAAGAAAAGAAAGUCUGUUUGAGAAGCUCUUCUUCUACGAUAAACGUGAAGUGCCGACAGGUCGUAAAAAUACUUGUCCUGUACUCGACCUAUAAAUCUAACUUUGAAAUGUCAUCAUGCAUCUUUUUUUAGACCUAAAACAGAAGCAGGUUUUUGUUUCGAUGGACACAAAAUCAUAAAUCUGUUCUACUUUGUACUGAAAUAUGCAUUUCUGUGCUGAUGUUUUGAUUGGUGAGAGCUCUUUUGGAAGUGUUUCCUCGUCAAUACGAUCACUUCCACUACAGAGUCAUGUCUGUUUUUAAUGAUCUCAGCCAUCCUGAAUUGAUUUCCCUUUUUACACAAAGAUUUCUCCAGAUUUUCGCUGAAUUUCUAAAUGUCUCGAGCCAAUGCGGUGACCUCCACUUCAGAGACAGGGCCUUUUUUAGUGCAGUGCUGCCUCUUGUAUUUUAAAUUAUAUCAUAAACUUUUUUAGAUAAUGAAAUCUCUGAGAAGUCUGAGAAACAUCACUGUCAAACUGUUGAACUGUUGGCUCACACGGUCUCUAACAGCGUCGUGUCGUUCAUGAACGUUUCGUCCAAAAGUACAGAACUGCUGAGUGAAAGACGUGAAAUGAAUCACUCCGAUACCUGAUUCGUUUCUUUUCUCAGUUCAGUUGAGUUCAGCUGCGAGCCUGACGUGCCGGUCGGGAGUGGAACUGCCGCCUUCGACUCUUUGGCGAACGACACACAGCCAGUGAGCGAGUGGAGUCUUGGGAUUUGCUCACAGAGAAUGAACGAUAUCAGUAAGACUGUGAACGAAACGAACAACAUGAGUCAGGCAGAGGAGGGAGGGGUGUAGCGUCGUUCAUGAACUGCCGAGCAGCAGUUAGUUGACUGGUUGGUUGAAAUACGCUAUUUGAUAUCUUUAAAAGUAGCAGAAUCCCCGCUACAGCUGCCAUGUUUAAUUAUUUUUAAUCUCUCUCCUUUUUCCGCGAAAUAAAAGAACGACGACUUGCGCUCGUUUAGCGGCGUGCUGCUCGCUGCUGUGUUGUUUCCUCCGACGGCGACACACAGAGAGGUGAGUUUUUCAGGGCAGGGGAGUGAUUCUUCCUUCAGGACUUGGCGGGUGAACGACAUGUGUCACCGUGAACGACGCCGUGACUUCAGCAGCAGGGGAGGGGAGGGGCUCGUUCAAUGAACGAACUCGCCGCUGUGUCACUCACUCAUGUACGGGGCUCUGAAGCACUGACUGAUUCAGUGAACGAAUCUUUUGAACGAAUCAUUUUAAUGAACGGAUUCUAAAGAUUCAGUACAGUCAAAACAAUGGUUCUUCCUAUCACUAGUCUCUCACAGAGUUAUAAAGCUGGUUCCAUCUUUACUUCUAAGACACUCUACUGCCCUAAAAUGUCCCCAUUAAGUAUAUAUAUAUAUAUAUAUAUUCCACAAAACCCUCAAAAUUAUCAGUUUUAUUAUUUGUUGUGUCUUCGCUCUUUUUCACUUAAAUGUUAAAUUGAAAUGAUUUAGAAAGUGUCCUGACUUUUUAAAGUUGUGGUUGUUCAUUUUUGGUUAUCUAAGUCCGGAUCAGUGUCUCUGUAGGGCAGCAUCAGGCCUGAAGGUCACGGUUGAAUAGGUCUACUAUAAAAGAAAAACAGAGAUAUUAUAAUAAAUCAGCCUCCUUUUUAAGUCGACUUAAGGAAUUCAUUUGUUUCUGCAGAAGAACCCUGAGUACGUUCAGCUCGAGCUUGGUGCAGAUUAGCAGCUGACAUUUAUGAGUUUCCUUUCUUUCACACUCUGCAAUCAGAUGAAAAGGAACUAAUCCAUCAGUCUAUUUCAAAGCAAAACCAAGGUUAGGUUAGGGACAGGUGAUCUGCUGGUUGCCAGGCAACAAACAAAGAGAGAAAAAGUUAAAUCACAUCUUCGCUCAUUUAAUUAUAGGCCUCUGUGAAGCUAUGUUGCUGCACCUGAAGUUCUCGCUGUCCUCUUGAUACCUGCUCAGUCUGACUGUGUUGUAAACUGACAUAAGAUCAGUUAGUAUUAUACAGUAAAUGCUUAUUUUUAGCAUGUUAUAACAACAAUGAAUAAAAACCUUUAGUUCUAUGUGGUUUAUAAGAAUAAUACAGGAUGUUUGGACAUUAUUGUGAAUAUUUGUUUAUUUGUAUGUUUGUUUGGAACCCCAUUAGCUUCCACAAAGUGGUUGCUAGUCUUCCUUAAAAUCACAAUACAUACAGUUUCGUUUUAAAGUCCUUCUUAUUUGCUGUGUGCUCCCAAGGUAGUUGAUUCCACAUUUCCAAAGAUCUAAAUAAAACCAUUCUCCUCAUAAAAUUGGACUUGGAGAAAGGAACAGUUAAAUGACCAGAGCUGACCUGCCGAGUGACAUGUUGAUGACAGUAGCCACUGUACACCAAUUAGUCCACAAAGAAAGUUGGAUACCCUUUGAAUAUGGCAGUAUAACAAAGAAUAUUUAUAUUUAACUUGUUCUGUACCUUUAACCGCUCUAAGGUGGUGUGCAGCUCAUUCACAUUCAUUCUAUAAGACAUGUUAGUUAAUGUUAAUGUACGUUGGCCUGUAAAAGUGCUAUAGUAACGGAAACACGUCCAACUUUCAAAGUCAAGGAAGGACUUUUUAAAUCAAAUCUUUAAAUCACCAUUUAGUAUCAGUUUAUUUAAACUGGGGUCAGAUUUCGUACAGGUACCGGGAGGUCUCACCUCACCCUGUUUGGAUUCUGUAUCAUAUAACCACCAACUAACUACACAUUAUACUCAACUAUCCACAAUCACAGUGAAGAUGCUUUUAGACGUCUGUAUCAGAAGUACCUAACAUUAGAGAUGGGAAUCACUAGAGGCCCCUUGGUAGGAUAUUAUCACGAUACUUGGGCAACGAUACAAUAUAUUGCGAUUUAUACAUUUUUUUUUUUUUACUGUUUAGCUAAUUUAGCAUUUGCCUUUCCUUUAUAUUUGUCUUAUUUACUCUGUAUUUUCUUGGAGGCGCCAAAAUCAGGCAACUGGACUGUGUAGAGUUGAGAAGACGUUUCGCCUCUUAUCCAAGAAGCUUCUUUAGUUCUAGAACAGUCCAGUUGCCUGAUUUUGGAGCCUUCAAGAAAACCACGACCUGGAUGAAUGAGAAUCUACAUGGACAUACUCUGAAUCUUAUUUUCAUGUCGCACAUCUUGCAAACCUUAUAUAUUUUCAUUGUACUAACUCUCUCCUGCUCUAUAAUGUCUCCUCUGCCAACCUCACUGAACAAACAGUUGAUUUUAUUUUCCAUUAUCAUAGAUUUGACUUCAUUUAAGAAAUUAAUACGAUAUAUCACCAAACAAAAUAUCAUGAUACUAUGCUGUAUCAAAACCUAAUAUUGGUAAAUGGUUGCAUGGGCUAAAAAAAGAGACCUACUUUGAUGUAUUAUUGAUUCAUUUUUUAACAUCUUUGUUUUAUUUAUUGGACGUUUUGUGCAUCAGAGACAGAAUAACUGGGCUGUUUCCCUGUUUAAGAUUUAGUUUGUUGUUUCCACUGAUCAUUUUUAUGAUUAUUUUAAAAGAGUUCACCGAAAAUGAAAAAUGUGUGGUAUGACUGUGUAUGACAGGGCUCCUCAGUAUGGUGUAAUAUUCACUUCAGCCACAUGGUGGAGCUAUACAUCUGUAAUAUCAGGAUGGUGCUGCAUGGUGAAUAUAGAUGAACACUCAGGGAGGACAGUGUCUCAAAAAUAUACAAAAUAAAGUUUUUUUUCUUUUAUUUUUAAUUGUUUUGAAGUCAUUUUUUUAAAUUGGUUAAACUCAGUUACGGCGCACUGACCUCAGAUUUUUAUGUAUUAAAAAAUGUCAUUUGUAUUUGUUUAAUCGAGUUCUUAUCAGUGAAAAUGUGAAUGAGUUUUUGAGCGUGUGUCUCAUUAAGUAGCUUCAAGUCUGGAGCUGUAAUGACGCCCCGGUACGGCGUUUCUGGGUAACCUGGCGCGUUGAUAUUAACGGGUCACCAGAGUUCGUUCUCAAUCUCUUUGGAGCGCUGCCAUUGGUCAGACAUGCCUGCAGUUGGUGCCAGCAUACGAUUAGCCUUUAAACUGAGCCUGACUUAGUACAGUGGGCAUAAGGUGGAGCGAGAUUAGGGUUAAGUACUUUGUGAGGACUGUGUGUAGAUUGGACCGGACUGGAUUUUAACAUUUUUGAGAGGCAGAGCUGUAAAAUUAAGCUGAUUAAAAACAGGGGAGGUGGACUUCCAGUAAAUUAGCUUAAGCUCGGCUUUGAAGGCAAGGGUCAAAAGUUCCCGAUGACCGUUAAACAUUUAGAGGCUGAUGCACAACGCCUAUUGGUAAACCGACAUUUAAAACAGGUUACAACGAAUAAGAAACACACAAGAAACAGUGCAAAACAAAAAAACGGAGCAUCCAUAGCAGCAAGAAAAGUUUCCACAAAUUGUCCAAAAUGCGUGCGGCUGUGUUGCGCGUCACGCUGACGGAGGUUUAAACUAUUGAGACGUGGAACAAAGAUGAGGGGCUGACAGAGGCUCCACUGGAGAGGCUCUACAGCACUGAAUAGGAAGUUGGGUGAAUAGGAUUUGGAGGGGUGACAAAUCGAACAGGGGAUUAGGUAUGUGUGCCUGUUUGUGUGUGUGUGUGUGUGUGUGUGUGUGUGUGCGUGUGUGUGUGUGAGAGAGAGAGAGAGAGAGAGAGACACCAGCUGGCUGAGUCCUCCUCUCUUUAACUGAGGAGGCGUGUGUGUGAAUGUAUGUGUUUUUUUAAGUAUGCGCUCGCUCUGUUCGUACUGAGACAAACCCGAGUAUAAACCUGCGUUAAGAUCACGUGUUUCCCUGCACUCAUGAAUUCUUCAUUUUCCAUCUACACUCACUGACCAUCUCUCUGUGAGAAAGAAACAGUUUCAUCUAAAGUACGAUCAACCAAAGAGAUAACGUCUGAUGUGAGAGGACAAGAGUGGACACUUCAGCCUCUCCACUAAGAAACUCCUCCAGUAACAUUUGUUUAGAGUUCAAAAGACCUUUUUAGGGUGAGUUAGAGUUGAGACUGUUUAUAGAACAGACGCUCUCUACCUCCUCGCUGGAUGAAACACCACGAGAACAGCACCCUCUGGUGACGGGCUGCAGUAUAGGUCAUAAACCCCGCCUUCUCCAGCAAUCCCUAUGGAGCUGUGGACACACUUUUGAAAUUAAUUACACAGAGUUCGGCGACUCUCCCGCCGUAUGCUUACAAUGCUACUGCGCAAUGUUAGUUUCAGGAAGUGAAGAAAAAACCUGGAAAUGCCGAGAGCUUUUUGGCUUUAAAUGCGUAUACUGGCGGAAGGCGGAGCCAAGUUGUCCAUAAUAUAUACAGUCUAUGAUAAAAACCAAGUGACUACGUUCGGUUGGCAGUGCAGCUAGUAUUACCCUUAUUUUGUUGAGUUAGCGUCACUAUUGAUGGAAAUGUUUAUAUUCAUGGUAGAACAUCCAAAGGGCCUGACAGUAAACCCAUUUUCAUAUGACAGUAAUAAAGUUAAAUAUCAAACUUACUUUUCCAUGUAUUAAAGUACUGUAGGGACGUUUGUGAGGUCUAACAGGAAUAUUACAUCACCCUGAAACCCUUAAAACCAUCCCUGUAGGAUUUUUUCUUCAAACCUUGAACAAACAAAAAGAAAGAGUAAGCAAACACUUCCUGCUUUCCAAACUUUCAAAUUGAGGAAUGGUGCAAUUACAGAGACUGAUAGUGCUUGAUUUUUGUUUUUGCUGACUGCACACCUUGACGGUGCAUUAAUUCACAGUUUAUCAUCCAUAUAGAGUUUUUUUUUGUUUUUCCGCUUGAAUCACCAUUAGUCAUAUUUUAUGACUCACUGCGGUUAUAUAAGCUUCUUUGUCGGUGCUUCUAAAGCUGCUAUAGUGGCUGUUGUUCCCAGAAGAUGCUUAAAAAAGUAAAGAGUGGGAUGCUCUCAUGGUUGCAGGCUAUAUGGAACAUGCGUGAUGUUUAGGCUCUGGUGCCAGAAGACGUGGGCGAGUGUGAGCAAAGAGAACUUUCUGUUUCUACAAAUAGAUUAGCACACUUUCAAUCACUCCAGGAUUUGAAUAAAGGCAAACACUGCUGCUGCGGUGUCAGACCCUGUUGAAAAGCAGAAUUUAUGGCAUCGUUUUUAUAAGCUGCAAUUUCUUAAAGCAGAUACUGUGAAUGUGAAUUGAGCGGCUUUUGCUCCACUAAUGCAUUCGAAUCAACAAGCCAAUUAUCGCCAGUGUAAUUAUCUUCAACAGGCUCAGUGUAAAGACUCAGUUUGUCAUUGAUUGACCAUUGACUGGCAGGAUUCGUCCUUGUGGCAAAUUGCUUUUUAAAAAUUCCUCUUUUCCCUCCUUGCAUUGAUUUUCAAGGGACAAUGGGGAAGUCAAUAACAAUUCAGAGGUUUUACAACCACUGAUUUAAAGUGAGAAUGAGGCACAUAAAGAAGCGUUUCAGAAGUGUUACGAGCCGUAAUACUGCAAGGUCAGGUUUUGUCAGAGAAAAUGAGCUUGGAGAACCGCCUGAAGGUCCUGAAUGCUGGACCUAUCUCAAGAAUAUGGAUAUUUGCAUGUGGAGACACAAAGCAGGCUGGUAUUAUCUGGGCCGUUUGCUAAACCCUAUCUGAAAGAGCUCGUCCAAUCAUUGACUACACGCUCGUAUCUUGGCACAUUAAACCUGACGGGUGUUUUCUCCAUGCAUACAUGCACAGAGCAGAAUGAGAGGCAUGAUUACCAAUGAGAGAAACCGGGAAAUACCGUAAAAAUGCCACAAAAACAACCAUCUAGGUCAGUCGAUACCGUGGGAAAACAAAUCAGGGAAGAGUGAAGGUAGACGCAGCUAAUUUUGCCGUCUAAAAGGCUCUGAAACAGCAUCUUAAACAAACUUGCAAAUGCAUCAGUCUGACUGAAAUCACACUAGAUCCAAUAUCUUAUAAUCGAACAGACAUACUUAAACAAUGUGGUUAGGUUUAAUUUUCUCUUCUAUGUGGACCAAUCAGUUCUGAGUCUGCUCGGUUUUUAGGAAGGAAGUCAGAUAGUAAACAAAACCUCAAAUGACAAAAAACGAAGACUAAAAAAGACCAAACUUUCCUAAAGUACAAAGAAAACAGAGCAGUAGAAGUGAGCAUGAAAGACUCAUUCUUGUCUGGUGUUUGUAAACUGGGAUCAGGAUAGUAGUCCAAUCACCUCGCCUGCUCUGUAGGCUGUACCCACACCUUGACUUAACUGCAUGUAAACAUUACAAAAGUCAGUCGAUAAGAGGACGUCUGGCUGAAACUGUCUCCUGGUACCUCCUGGUAGGGUAGUUCAGCUCAGCCGUUGUCAGCUUUGAUAGUUAUAGGAUGCAGACUUUACACUUGUGAUCACUUUGCACCAUUGCCCUCUGAUGAUUGCUUUAAAUAGGGUGAUCAUAUUCUGAAUCCCCAAAAAGAGGAGACAGCUACCCGGGGGCAGAGUCACGGAGUCAUGCGUAGUUAAUUUUUAGAGUUUUUCGGGUCGGAUGAAGUUUUUUUUACACGCUUCCAACUCAGUUAGUUCACGCUACACAAACUCAAAACUUCAUACAAAUCCGCAGACACUUGAAGGAUUUUAUAAACUCCCCCGGACAAGGCCGAAGAGCCCCCCAAAAAGAGGACAUGUCUGGGUAAAGAGGAUGUAUGGUCAUCCUACUUUAAAAGGGUUUUUACUUAAUAAUGUGCUUCAGAUUUCUCCAGAUGCACAAUUUUAACUCUUACAUACCAAAUCUCAAGAUAGUUUGAAUUCAGAGUAAGAAAUCUGCAGCUGUUAUAGAGAGUUAGACUGUUAAAAUAAUAUAUGAAAGGCUGAAAAUGUAAAAUAAGGCUCAGCGAAUGGUUGAUUUGGAUUUAGUCACAUGGGGGUGUUUAUAGAAAUUAAACCCUGAUGAUCAUCAUGGAUCCACUUCCAGAUACCAGAGAGAAGGAGGAAGGUAGUGACUACUAUGUAUGUAUGUAUGCACACACACCCAUACACCCCCGCCGCCCUCCCCCUUGAAUCGCCCGUGGCCUGGCCUUAAGAGGAGUUCUGUUGCUGGGUAAUGAAGAGGAGGGAGGCUGCGAGGCAGGUGCUGCUGCCGGGGAACAGUGGACCACUUGUGGCUCCGUUGAGUGUCUCUCCACACUCACCCAUCUCCUCUCUACCCCUCAGCCCCCCCCCGCCAACCCUUCAACUUCACUUCAUCUCACACUGUCUCACCCCCAUCGUCAUCACGAGCAGGUGUGAGUGUGAUCCCCCUGCCUCCUGCCCGUCAACCUCCCCCGCUCCUCGCCGCAGCCGCCGUUUUCUCUUUUUUUAACCACUACCUACAGAGUCAAUUUAUGGCUGAACACGUCUGCGCUCUGAUUGGUUCAUUUACAUACGGAGCAUUGAGCACACAGUCUAAUCAGAGUCUGAUUUAAAUUCCUGGAGUGAGGAAGGGGUGUAACCUACGUGUGACUCAGCCUCCGUUAUGUUUAUUCUACUGGCUGCAUUUUUGUACCUCGACUGCAGACAAAAAAACUGCAAAAAAAUCAAACAAAAAUGUGGCAAAACAUCAUCGUUUUUGUCCUGGAAAUAUAAAAGUGCAAGUAGAGGACUGGGGAAAAGUUCGGCGUCACAUAGAGCUCCUAAAAACGGCGUCUGGCUGCAGUUACGGCCACUCCUUUAAUGUGUCGCUGAUGUGAACAAAAUGUGCUCCACAGAUGAGUCUCAUGACAGUCCUCUCAAGGGUAAUGGGCUCUGAAUGAGGUGACGAACUAUUAAGAAGUGAUCAAACUCCCAUUUAGGACAUCAGUACAGCUCAUUUUCCCGUGCUUUGUCUCCGCACAGAUGGAUGGCCGUGCCAAAACAAAACACGUGUAAACCUCCGAUUUCCAGGAGAUGAAACCUGCUCUCUCUGUGUGUGUUUACUUUGACAUCAAAUAUGAACAAAUCAAUAGGACAUUAACUUUAUAAAUCACGGUUCUGUUGAUCCGAAUGAACCCAAAUAUAUCCGCCAGCUUUUAUUUAAUCAGUGUAAACACAGACUGGUGAACUAUCCACCGAUGACACCGAGUCUAAUUAUUCAUAAAUAAUAAAAUGUUAAGGGAGGACUUUUGACAUUUUCCGAAAAUGUCAAACAAUUCAUUUCAACAAUUGAGGUUUAUUGUUUUAGUUUGCAUAUUAAGUCUCUGCAGUCAACCUUGAAACUGAUGAGCUGCGUGUGUUUAUGAAGCAUCUACCUGGUUCAGCUGUCCUUCAUCACCACUGAAUGUCACUGAAGAUUGUUUUUCAUGAGCUGAUAAUAAAAACACAGAAGUGAAAUAUGAACUGAAGGAGUUUUAAUAGUAAUGUGGACUCAUCUAUUGUAAGUCUAGACACUUCAGUCAAAGCAGUUAUCAACAAGUUGUUAAAUGAAAAGUUUUAAACAAUUUUGUUUAAUUUUGGUCAAAGUGGGAAAUUUUUGAGUAAUUUUUUUAGCUUAAAAAAAGACGUUAAAGGUGGUGUAGUCAGGAUCUGAGGAAGUUCCAGUUUUUGGGAGAAAUCUUGAAUGUAAACUCUACCCCUCCAACCAGUUUUCCCCUCAGCUCCUCCUCUCCCCUCAAGCCCCGCCCACAAACAGACGCUCCUGCUCGCUCGUAUCGUUCUGAUUAAAUUCAGAUAUAAUGCAGAUAAAUACUUCAGAUCAUUACAAAUGGGGCCCAGUCAAGGUGAAAGUCAAAAGCAUUGGUGCUACUGUAGAUGCCAACAGACUACCAGCAAACACAAUGUUUGCAGGACUUCUACAACGAGGAUAAAGUGACAUAGUCCAGGACCCGAGGGAGGACAGUUUAGCGAUGGCGCUACAACACGCUACAGCAGGUCCGUUUGACAAGAAACACUUCUGUUACAGACACUUGUCUUACUUUGUUAAAGCGGUUUACCUGUCCAGCAGAAAGGUUACAGGGUCACCAAGAUCCCCAAGCGUCCCCCAUCGUUUAUGUUGACCCGGCUUUUUAGCUCUUGUCCGGUCUACAGAGAAGUUACCAACUUUUCCUCAGUCCAUCCUGUCUUUAGCAAGUUUAUAUUUGGUUUUCUCAUGCGGUGAUAUCCACCUUAGAGUCACUAUAGAUUACAGCCACCCAGUAUUGGUUUCUGACCUUGUCCGUUUUGCACAGAUUUCUCUAGAUUCUUCAAAUCUUUCGUAAAAUCAUGAACUAAAGUUGAUGAAAGAUUCAAACUACUUUUAAUUUUACAUCGAGGAAACUUUGAACUUUGAAACUGUUGAAUUAUUUGCUCACACGGUCUCUCACAGAGUGGUGACCCUCCUCUCGUUUGAGGGUGACCAUCUUCUGAAUCCCCAAAAAGAGGACACGACCACACGGGGGCGGAGUCACGGAGUCAUACGAGGUUAAUUUUGAAAGUUUUUCGGGUCAGAUCGAGUCUGGUCACAAACUCGAAUGUUGCGUACAAAACCCCGGACAUUUGACUGAUUUCAUAAACUCCCUCAGGUAAAAGAGGACGUAUGGUCACCCGACCUUCGCUGCUUUGUUUACGGUGAAAUAAUUAUUGGGGACAUUGGGUUUUAUCUAGAACAGGUAAUAAAAGAAGAACUAUACCACCUCCGUGUCUGAAACUUUAUGAUUACGGCCAUCUUGCACUCAACACAUUCCUGUUUCAUCAGCCUUCACAGUUAAAUCCCUUCCUCUCCAUGUUCCAGCCAUGUUUUUUUCUCAUGGCCGACUCUCACUCUUCUCUAAUUUGAAGGUCGUUUUCCAUUGUGGAGAAAUCACCAGUGUGAGCGCCACAGAGGAAGCUGCUUCAAACAGCCAGCACCACGGCGCCCGGAUCGUGCACAGCCAGGGAUCAUAUGCCCUCUCAUCUCCAGCGACCAGGCGCAAUCUAUUUCUCAUUCUCUUCUCAUUGUUGACACACUGUCAUUGCAGAGCCGGGCUGCCUAGCAACAGAAUCCUGGCAGACGUUUUUCCAAUCUUCUGUCAGGCGGGGAAGCUCCGCCCCUCUCUGUCCCUGGAGGAAUGAUGGAAAGGUCACUUCACUCCUCGCCGUGUCUGACAGCACACAGAUUGUCUUUUCUGAAAACUCUGAGGAGUGUGUGAGUGUGUGUGUGUGUUUGUGCAUGUGUGUUGGAGGUCUGAGAGGUGG